rnacentral:rRNA from 1 species
CAAUAGCGUAUAUUAAAGUUGUUGCAGUUAAAAAGCUCGUAGUUGGGCUUCUGCGGGUGGCGGCCGGUCGUGCUCGAAACGGGCGUGAACUUGGCGUGCUGCCCGCAUCUUUGGGGAGAUUGUGCGUGGCAUUAAGUUGUCGUGCAUGGGAUUCUCAUCAUUUACUGUGAAAAAAUUAGAGUGUUUAAAGCAGGCCUUUGCCUUGAAUACAUUAGCAUGGAAUAAUAAGAUAGGACCGUUGUCUAUUUUGUUGGUUUACAGAUGUCGGUAAUGAUUAAUAGGGAUAGUUGGGGGUAUUCGUAUUCAGUUGUCAGAGGUGAAAUUCUUGGAUUUUCGGAAGACGCACGACUGCGAAAGCAUUUACCAAGGAUGUUUUCAUUAA